AGUGAACGCUGGCGGUACGCCUAACACAUGCAAGUCGAACGGCAGCACAGUAAGAGCUUGCUCUUACGGGUGGCGAGUGGCGGACGGGUGAGGAAUACAUCGGAAUCUACUUUUUCGUGGGGGAUAACGUAGGGAAACUUACGCUAAUACCGCAUACGACCUACGGGUGAAAGCAGUGGAUCUUCGGACCUUUCGCGAUUGAAUGAGCCGAUGUCGGAUUAGCUAGUUGGCGGGGUAAAGGCCCACCAAGGCGACGAUCCGUAGCUGGUCUGAGAGGAUGAUCAGCCACACUGGAACUGAGACACGGUCCAGACUCCUACGGGAGGCAGCAGUGGGGAAUAUUGGACAAUGGGCGCAAGCCUGAUCCAGCCAUACCGCGUGGGUGAAGAAGGCCUUCGGGUUGUAAAGCCCUUUUGUUGGGAAAGAAAAGCAGCAGGUUAAUACCCCGCUGUUCUGACGGUACCCAAAGAAUAAGCACCGGCUAACUUCGUG
rnacentral:rRNA from 1 species